rnacentral:misc_RNA from 1 species
GUCAAAAUCAACCUUUUCCUGUUGCGGGGGAUUGGAAAUUGAUUGCUUAAAAUGGAGCUACUAAUGACCAGGAGUGGAGACCAUAUUAAAAAGAAAGAGAUCCACCAGAAGAUUGGUUGCUAAAAGAAACAGAAGCCUAAGCAUGUACAGUUAUUAGUGGAACACCCAUAAAUAACAGUAUGUCCUCAUUAAACAAAGACAUGAUUACCAUGUCUCAUUAGGAGCCUUCAUUUCCAACCAGUUAGCAUUAACCACCAUUCUUGGCAUGACAAGAGAGAGACAGGUAAUAGAUAAGUAGGGAGCAAAGCUCUCUUCUAAAAUCAUAAUAUUGAAAUAUAAUCCUCCAUUUUAUAUCUGUAUAUAUAAAUGCUACACCAGUCAACAAAUAAUAUGUUUGCCACUAAAAAGGUUCAUAUACAU